UGGGGAGUGGAGGGGCCUUGCUUUGCUUCUUCUUGACUGACUGGUACUCUUUUUAUUAUGUAUGUAUUUAUUUAUUCAUUUAGCGAUCCUCCUACCUCAGCCUCCAGAGUAGCUGGGACACAGGUAUGCGCCACCACACUCGGCGAAUUUUUUAAUUUUUUGUAGAGAUGGGGUCUUCUUCUAUUGCCUAGGGCUAAUGUUGGACUCCUGGGCUCAAGCGAUCCUCUUGCCUUGGCCUCCCAGCAUGUUGGGAUUACAGGCAUGAACUACCGCACCCGGCCCGUACUCUGUCUUCACCUCCUCUGGGAAGCCUUCCUCAGUCUCUGGCUCUCAGGUCGCCCGUGCAUACCUGUCCUGAAACUGCUUUCCCACCUGUGUUCCCAGGGCAGAGAGUGGAUGCCCAUGGAUGGUUUGUCAAAGGAAUAAAUUAGCCUUUUUUGGA
rnacentral:lncRNA from 10 species